GUCGAGCGGGACCUUCGGGUCUAGCGGCGGACGGGUUAGUAACGCGCCCGUAUAUGCCCUUCUCUAAGGAAUAGCCACUGGAAACGGCCCCUUUUACCUUAUACGCCCUUCGGGGGAAAGAUUUAUCGGAGAAGGAUCGGCCCGCGUUAGAUUAGGUAGUUGGUGGGGUAAUGGCCUACCAAGCCUACGAUCUAUAGCUGGUUUUAGAGGAUGAUCAGCAACACUGGGACUGAGACACGGCCCAGACUCCUACGGGAGGCAGCAGUGGGGAAUCUUGGACAAUGGGCGCAAGCCUGAUCCAGCCAUGCCGCGUGAGUGAUGAAGGCCUUAGGGUCGUAAAGCUCUUUCGCCAGGGAUGAUAAUGACAGUACCUGGUAAAGAAACCCCGGCUAACUCCGUGCCAGCAGCCGCGGUAAUACGGAGGGGGUUAGCGUUGUUCGGAAUUACUGGGCGUAAAGCGCGCGUAGGCGGAUCAGAAAGUUGGGGGUGAAAUCCCGGGGCUCAACCCCGGAACGGCCUCCAAAACUCCUGGUCUUGAGUUCGAGAGAGGUGAGUGGAAUUCCGAGUGUAGAGGUGAAAUUCGUAGAUAUUCGGAGGAACACCAGUGGCGAAGGCGGCUCACUGGCUCGAUACUGACGCUGAGGUGCGAAAGUGUGGGGAGCAAACAGGAUUAGAUACCCUGGUAGUCCACACCGUAAACGAUGAAUGCCAGUCGUCGGGUAGCAUGCUGCUCGGUGACACACCUAACGGAUUAAGCAUUUCCGCCUGGGGAGUACGGUCCGCAAGAUUAAAACU
rnacentral:rRNA from 1 species